AGUGAACGCUGGCGGCGUGCUUAACACAUGCAAGUCGAGCGAAUUUCGGCAGUGUAUCGCCGGAGUUAGCGGCAGACGGGUGAGUAAUAUUUAAACAAUCUUCCCUCGAGUGGGAAACAACCUGACGAAAGUCGGGCUAAUGUCCCAUAAGACCACAUUCUGGCAUCAGAGAGAGGUCAAAGGUCCGCAAGGGCCGCUGGAGGAGGAGUUUAAAUCCUAUCAUGGAGUUGGUGAGGUAACGACUCACCAAGCCUACGACGGGUAGCCGGCCUGAAAGGGUGAUCGGCCACACUGGCACUGAGACACGGGCCAGACUCCUACGGGAGGCAGCAGUGGGGAAUUUUGGACAAUGGGGGCAACCCUGAUCCAGCGACGCCGCGUGAAGGAUGAAGGUCUUCGGAUCGUAAACUUCUUUUAGAGGGGAUGAAUGAGUUGGUGAAUAGCCAACUGUGACAGUACUCUUUGAAUAAGCCACGGCUAACUACGUGCCAGCAGCCG
rnacentral:rRNA from 1 species